AUGGCGCCGGCGCACGGGUGAGUAACGCGUAUGCAACUUACCUAUCAGAGGGGGAUAGCCCGGCGAAAGUCGGAUUAAUACCCCAUAAACAGGGGUCCCGCAUGGGAAUAUUUGUUAAAGAUUCAUCGCUGAUAGAUAGGCAUGCGUUCCAUUAGGCAGUUGGCGGGGUAACGGCCCACCAAACCGACGAUGGAUAGGGGUUCUGAGAGGAAGGUCCCCCACAUUGGUACUGAGACACGGACCAA
rnacentral:rRNA from 1 species